rnacentral:rRNA from 1 species
UAAGAGGUCCCGCCUGCCCUGUGACUAUAUGUUUAACGGCCGCGGUAUUUUGACCGUGCGAAGGUAGCGCAAUCACUUGUCCUUUAAAUGGGGACCUGUAUGAAUGGCACAACGAGGGCUUAACUGUCUCCUCUUUCAAGUCAAUGAAAUUGAUCUCUCCGUGCAGAAGCGGAGAUACUACCAUAAGACGAGAAGACCCUGUGGAGCUUUAGACACCAAAACAGACCAUGUUAAAAACCCUAAAACAAAAGAUUAAACUCAAUGCCCCCUGACUUGAUGUCUUCGGUUGGGGUGACCGAGGAGAAGAACACAACCUCCAUGCGGAAUAGGAGUACUACUCCCACAAUCACGAACCCCCGUUCUAAUUACCAGAAUUUCUGACCCUAUGAUCCGGCAACGCCGAUUAACGAACCAAGUUACCCCAGGGAUAACAGCGCAAUCCCCUUUUAGAGCCCCUAUCAACAAGGGGGUUUACGACCUCGAUGUUGGAUCAGGACAUCCUAAUGGCGCAGCCGCUAUUAAGGUUCGUU